GGAUGUUUGGUUCAGUGGCAUGAUUCUUCUUUAAGGUGGAAGAUGGUCUGGGUUCGAUUCCCAGAAGUUCUC
rfam:Gregarina niphandrodes unplaced genomic scaffold scaffold00196, whole genome shotgun sequence.